rnacentral:misc_RNA from 1 species
GAAACAAGGCGUUCGGACUUUGGAGUGUCAAUGAGUCAUCGUGUUGCAACUGUCAUUCUCAUUGUGCUGUCCUACAUACUCAGGUUUGCCCGUGUUGGUUCAGUUGUUUUAGCUAUUCAUGAUGCUAGUGAUAUACUUUUGGAGAUAGGAAAGAUGUCCAAAUAUAGUGGUGCUGAAGGGAUGGCUAGCUUUGCAUUUAUUAUUUUUGUUUUGUCUUGGAUCAUACUGCGCC